UAUCAGAGGGGAAUAACAAUGAGAAAUCAGUGCUAAUACCGCAUAAGGUUCAGUCAUCGCAUGAUGGCAGAAGGAAAGGUGGCGGACUCGAGAGAGGCUAUCGCUGAUAGAGCGACCCGCGUCUGAUUAGCUAGUUGGUGGGGUAAAGGCCUACCAAGGCGACGAUCAGUAGCCGACCUGAGAGGGUGGACGGCCACAUUGGGACUGAGACACGGCCCAAACUCCUACGGAAGGCAGCAG
rnacentral:rRNA from 1 species